AGCGAACGCUGGCGGCAGGCCUAACACAUGCAAGUCGAACGAACUCUUCGGAGUUAGUGGCGGACGGGUGAGUAACACGUGGGAACGUGCCUUUUGGUUCGGAAUAACUCAGGGAAACUUGUGCUAAUACCGAAUGUGCCCUUCGGGGGAAAGUUUUAUCGCCAUUAGAGCGGCCCGCGUCUGAUUAGCUAGUUGGUGAGGUAACGGCUCACCAAGGCGACGAUCAGUAGCUGGUCUGAGAGGAUGACCAGCCACACUGGGACUGAGACACGGCCCAGACUCCUACGGGAGGCAGCAGUGGGGAAUCCUGCGCAAUGGGCGAAAGCCUGACGCAGCCAUGCCGCGUGAAUGAUGAAGGUCUUAGGAUUGUAAAAUUCUUUCACCGGGGACGAUAAUGACGGUACCCGGAGAAGAAGCCCCGGCUAACUUCGUG
rnacentral:rRNA from 1 species